GACGAACGCUGGCGGCGUGCCUAAUACAUGCAGGUCGAACGAACCGCGACUAGGUGCUUGCACUUGGUCAAGGUGAGUGGCGAACGGGUGAGUAACACGUGGGUAACCUACCUCAUAGUGGGGGAUAACAGUCGGAAACGACUGCUAAUACCGCAUAGGACAUAGGAUCACAUGAUUCUGUGAGGAAAGGUGGCGCAAGCUAUCGCUAAGAGAUGGACCCGCGGUGCAUGAGCUAGUUGGUAGGGUACAGGCCUACCAAGGCGAUGAUCCAUAGCCGACCCGAGCGGGUGAACGGCCACCUUCGUACUGAGUCGCGGCCCAAGCUCCUACGGGAGGCGGCUGUAGGGAAUCCUACCCGAUGGACGCAUUUCUGACGGCACAACGCGGCGUGAGUGCAGCAGCUCUUCCGAUCUUAAAGCUCUCUUGUUAGGGAAGAACCGUGUAUAGAGUAACUGGUAUGCGUGUGACGGUAGCUAAACAGAACGCCCCGGCUAACUACGUG
rnacentral:rRNA from 1 species